rnacentral:rRNA from 1 species
AACAACGCUGGCGGCGUGCCUAACACAUGCAAGUCGUACGAGAAAGUCGGCUUCGGCCGAUGAGUACAGUGGCGCACGGGUGAGUAGCGCGUGGGUAAUCUGCCCCCCGGUCAGGAAUAACCCGCCGAAAGGCGGGCUAAUACCCGAUAACACUGACGCUCCGCGGAGCGUCUUUCAAAGGAGGCCUCUGUUUACAAGCUUUCGCCGGAGGAUGAGCCCGCGUACCAUUAGCUAGUUGGCAGGGUAAUGGCCUACCAAGGCUGCGAUGGUUAGCUGGUCUGAGAGGAUGGCCAGCCACACUGGAACUGGGACACGGUCCAGACUCCUACGGGAGGCAGCAGUGAGGAAUCUUGCGCAAUGGGGGAAACCCUGACGCAGCAACGCCGCGUGAGUGAGGAAGGCCUUCGGGUCGUAAAGCUCUGUCAGAUGGGAAGAAAUGGGUGGGGGCUAAUAUCGCCCAUCCUUGACGGUACCAUCAGAGGAAGCACCGGCUAACUCCGUG